UGCGUAGGCGGUUCGGUAAGUCUGAUGUGAAAUCUCUGGGCUCAACUCAGAGACUGCAUCGGAAACUGCCGGGCUUGAGUAUGGGAGAGGUGAGUGGAAUUCCUGGUGUAGCGGUGAAAUGCGUAGAUAUCAGGAGGAACACCUGUGGCGAAAGCGGCUCACUGGACCAUAACUGACGCUGAUGCACGAAAGCUAGGGGAGCAAACAGGAUUAGAUACCCUGGUAGUCCUAGCCCUAAACGAUGACUGCUUGGUGUGGCGGGUACCCAAUCCCGCCGUGCCGUAGCUAACGCGUUAAGCAGUCCGCCUGGGGAGUACGGUCGCAAAGGCUGAAA
rnacentral:rRNA from 1 species